GAUGAAGAACGCAGCGAAAUGCGAUAAGUAAUGUGAAUUGCAGAAUUCAGUGAAUCAUCGAAUCUUUGAACGCACAUUGCGCCCCCUGGCAUUCCGGGGGGCAUGCCUGUUCGAGCGUCAUUACAACCCUCAAGCUCUGCUUGGUAUUGGGCUCUGCUGGGACCGGCAGGCCUUAAAAUCAGUGGCGGCGCCACUCGGUUUCAAGCGUAGUAAUUCUUCUCGCUUCGGAGACCCGGGUGCGUGCUAGCCAGCAACCCCCAACUUUCUUAGGUUGACCUCGGAUCAGGUAGGGAUACCCGCUGAACUUAAGCAUAUCAAUAAGCGGAGGA
rnacentral:misc_RNA from 1 species